GAUGAACGCUAGCGGCAGGCUUAACACAUGCAAGUCGAGGGGCAGCGCGAUGUAGCAAUACAUUGGCGGCGACCGGCGCACGGGUGCGUAACACGUAUGGAACUUACCCUUUACUGGGAGAUAGCCCGGAGAAAUCCGGAUUAAUAUCCCAUAAUAAACGAAGUGGCAUCACUUUGUUUUGUAAAGCUCCGGCGGUAAAGGAUGGCCAUGCGCACGAUUAGCUAGUAGGUGAGGUAACGGCUCACCUAGGCUACGAUCGUUAGGGGGCCUGAGAGGGUUAUCCCCCACACUGGUACUGAGACACGGACCAGACUCCUACGGGAGGCAGCAGUGAGGAAUAUUGCGCAAUGGAGGCGAACUCUGACGCAGCCAUGCCGCGUGCAGGAAGAAGGCGCUACGCGUUGUAAACU
rnacentral:rRNA from 1 species